UACAGAGGGUGCGAGCGUUGUUCGGAAUUAUUGGGCGUAAAGGGCGCGUAGGCGGCGCGGUAUGUCACCUGUGAAAUCUCCCGGCUCAACUGGGAGGGUGCGCCGAAUACUGAAUGACUUGGAGUGCGGGAGAGGAAAGUGGAAUUCCUGGUGUAGCGGUGAAAUGCGUAGAUAUCAGGAGGAACACCGGUGGUGUAGACGGCUUUCUGGACCGUAACUGACGCUGAGACACGAAAGCGUGGGUAGCAAACAGG
rnacentral:rRNA from 1 species